GCUUUGGAGGUACAAUGGUGAGCAUAGCUGCCUUCCAAGCAGUUGACCUAGCUUCAAUUCCUGGCUAAUGCA
rnacentral:tRNA from 1 species